AGUUUUGACAGUCUUUUGGUGGCUUGCAUUAAAUGUUGCUAAAUAAUAUUCUAAUUUAUCCACAAUUAAAAAUUUUGCUUACUCAGUGAUGUGCUUUUACAUACAUUAUAAGUUGAAUUAAUAUUAUAACUGCUCUUCAUAAAGAUGUCGUUAUUUCGUAAGCCUAAAAGAAUUCAAAGACGCGUGUUUUGUGCUGACGAUGAUGAAGAUGGUGAACCGGAGGCGCCGCCACCGCCAGUGAUUAGUAACAAAAAAGAAAACAAACCCUCAAAAACUCCGUCAUUGUUAAGUUUCGUCGACGAAGAGGAAGAUGGCGAAGUUUUUAAGGUAAAGAAGUCAUCACAAAGUAAGAGGUUAGCAAAACGCAGGGAAAAGGAGAAACGCAUACAGCCUGAGGGUGAUAAUCACAAAAUUGACAAUAAUGUGACUGAGGAAAAUGAAGUGGGCGAAAAGGAAAUCACAAAGAAAAAGAAGAAGGUGACCCUCGAAGGGUUAAUACUAUCUGGGCGCGAAGCGCUAGCGGCAGACGGUUCCGGCGACAUAUCGGAAGAGAGCGGCAACGAAGAUGAGGAUAGUAGGGGAUUUCACCAGUUCCGAGCGGAGUCGGUGCGCGCAGCGCUCGCCGUGGCGCCCGGACAUAUACCGGACGCGGCGCUCAUCCACGCAGCAAGAAAAACGCGACAGCAGGCUCGAGAGCUCGGAGACUAUGUUCCAAUUAAGUCUGACGGCCGUGGGCCCCGGCUGAUACAUGAAGAUGACGAUGAAGAUGAUGAGGAAGAAGGCAGAAUACAGGUCAGGGGGUUGGAACUGCCAAGCGAUAAGCCAAAGCGUGGUACAGCAGCCAUCCCUGAUGAGGAGAUGAACAGCGAGGGUGAGGAGUGGGAGGAGCAGCAGAUGCAGAAAGCUGUCCCUUCCAUUGUUGAUAUAACUGGCGAAGGCUCCGGCGAGCUGAACCCGUUCGCGGUGGCGCCGCCGCCCCCGCGGCUGGAGGCGGCGCCGCACCUGCGCGCGCUGUCCGCCGGCCCGCCGCCCGCCACCGCGAGCCAGCUGCUCGACGCUCUGUCCAAGAGAUUAAACGAGCUCCAAACGGACCGGCAGGCGACGUUAACAAAACGCGAGGAAUGUCGCGACAGACUACUAGCGGCGGCCAGGAUAAGGGAGUCCAGGUCCGCUAGAUGCAAGGAGUUGGAUGCCGCAUAUAAACGGGCACAGGCUGUUAGAGGAUACCUCACGGAUUUAAUCGAGUGCUUGGAUGAAAAGAUGCCGCAAUUAGAAGCGCUAGAGUCUCGGGCGCUCUUACUGCACAAGCGCCGCUGCGAAUUUCUCGUGGAGAGGCGACGGGCGGACGUCAGAGAUCAAGCGCAGGAUGUUUUAGCGUUGGCAGCCCGCGCGGGCGCCGCGAAGCCCGCGGACAGCGAGGAGAAGCGGCGGCGCUGCGCCGAGCGCGAGGGGCGGCGGCGCGCGCGCCGGCUGCGGCGCGAGGCGGCCGGCACCGCGCACCUGCACCGCGACGGGGACUCCAGCGACGACGACCUGCCGCCCGCCGACCUGCUGCACCACCAGCACGAGGCCGAAGCGAUCCGGCAGUCGUCGGCGGCGCUGUUCGCGGACGCGCUGGCGGCGUGGCGCAGCGUGCGCGGCGUGUGCCGCUCGCUGGCGCGCUGGCGCCGCGCGCACGCCGCGCUCUACGCGGACGCGUACGUGGCCGACUGCCUGCCGCGCCUGCUCGCGCCCUACGUGCGCCACCAGCUGAUACUUUGGAAUCCCCUGGCUGAUGAAGACAAUGAGGACUAUGAAAAAAUGGACUGGUACAAAUGCCUCAUGAUGUACGGCGUUCGCUCCGAGAAGAGUGCAGACGACUCGGAGCAGUCCUCUUCUGAGGAGGAGAGCGAGAUUAUCCUGCGCGAGGACACGGUCCGCGACGACGUGGACCUGCUGCUGGUGCCCACAAUCGUUGAUAAGAGCUGGUGGAAGUGGCGUGGGACCCGAUGUCCGUCCGCGCGUGCAUCCGCCUCCGCAACAUACUACUGCGCGCCGCGGAGUUGCCUGUACAGAGCACGCUGAACAAGCUCUCGGCGGCGGUGUCGUCGCGCUUGGCGAACGCGCUCAGUGCUGACGUGUUCUUGCCCACUUUGCCGCCGCACGUGCUGGAGGGCGGCGGCAACGCGUUCUGGCGGCGCUGCGUGGGCGCCGGCGUGCGGCUGCUGCG
rnacentral:misc_RNA from 1 species